AUACUUACCUGGACGGGGUCGAUGGGCGAUCAAUAAGGCCCAUGGCCUGGAGUGGUGACCUUCAUUGCACUUGGAAGGGGUGCCAUUCUAUGGUCGGCCCAUGUGGUCGAGCCAACGUCAUAAUUUGUGUCAGUGGGGGCCUGCGUUCGCGCGGCCCCCUC
rnacentral:snRNA from 1 species